CGGCCGUGUGCACGGAGGCCGCCCCCUCGCCGGCAUGGGGCUGCUGGAGCUGUGCGAGGAAGUGUUCGGCACCGCCGACCUUUACCGGGUGCUGGGCGUGCGGCGCGAGGCCUCAGACGGCGAGGUCCGACGCGGCUACCACAAGGUGUCCCUGCGGGUGCACCCGGACCGGGUGAGCGACGGCGACAAGGAGGACGCCACCCGCCGCUUCCAGAUCCUGGGGAGAGUCUAUUCCGUCCUGAGUGACCAAGAGCAGAGAGCGGUGUACGAUGAGCAGGGCGCUGUGGACGAGGACUCUGCUGCGCUCGCCCAAGACCGGGACUGGGAGGCGUACUGGAGGUUACUCUUCAAAAAGAUCUCUCUAGAAGACAUUCAAGCAUUUGAAAAGACGUACAAAGGCUCUGAAGAAGAGCUGACUGACAUUAAACAGGCGUAUCUGGACUUCAACGGGGACAUGGAUCAGAUCAUGGAGUCUGUGCUUUGUGUGCAGUACACAGAGGAACCCAGGAUAAGGGAUAUCAUUCAG